UAAGGUCUUUAAUAACUACAAUAUAUUUAACUUAACAUAUUUACUAAGCCUUUUGUUUCCUGCCUGUCUGAGUCUCUGUUUGUGCUGCCACUUCCUGUCUCUGAUGCACAGACUGCUGGGAUCUGUAGUACUGCAGGAAACCCUGUACGCAGCUACACUACAGCAACCAUUAUUACAACACUGAGAACAUCAUGGCCCAGGGGAUGCCAGGGAAGAGGCAGCAAAUGGGAGAAGAUCUCAUCAGGAGAAUUGGCUCAUCCCCAUGGCUUAAUUUCUCUCUCCCUUGACUAUUAUUGCUUGACUGUGAUGGCCUUAUCUAAUUCCACAAAGCCUUUUGAAUUACUUUCAAUGAAAGACACAUUACAAAAAAUGAAUUUUGCCAAUGAAUGUUCACAUUCUGCAGUCAACAGUUUGUGGGAAUUCAAUGGAACUAGAUCGUCUUAAUAGAUUCCAUUGGACAGAAAUCUUCACAGCCAUUAUGCUUUGGAACCUAGUUUGCUGAAACUGCCGACCAUGGGAUCUACUGCACACUGGACUCCAGCAAACAACCAGGUUCCUGGUUCAUACAUACAGGCUCAUUACUUGAUUUCUGUUUUGUUUGUUUGUUAUUUCUCCCUGUAAACUGCUUUGGGAGCUUUUGUUGAAAAGUGGUGAAUAUGUUCGUAGUAGUGGUAUUCAUGGUAGUAUUUCUCUAUCUGUCUAUCAUAUUUAUAUACCGGCUGAUACGUGCAUCUCUAGGCAGUGUACACAAUUUAAAACACAACAAAUAUAAAAUAAAGUAAAAACAAAACAAUUUCAUGGAAUAAAAAGUUCAAACAAUCUCAUAGAACAAAAACAAUUAAAUAGUUUAAAAUUAAUUUCAGUUAAAAGCUUGAGAAACAGGUGUCUUGAGGGUCUUCCUAAAAGCAAACAGAGGAGGAGAUGCUCUUAUUUUGACAGGGAGCAUACUCCAAAGCCCCGGGGCAGCAAACCAUCUCUCAGGUCCCGACCCCCCACAGUCAGUAGCUCCAUUUUAUUUGGUUUCAACUUCAGCUUGUUACCCCACAUCCAGCCCAUUACUGCCUCCAAGCAGGCAUUUAGGGAUGUUAUGGAAUUUCCUGCUGAGGUCGAUACGAAUGAUCUUGGUUUGAAAUGGGUCUAGAUAAUCUGUAUCAUCCAAAACUGCCUGGAGCCGAGAGACCACCACCUGUUCAAUCACCUUGCCCAGCUAUGGAAGAUUGGAAACGGGACUAUAAUUAGCUAACUGAUUCAAUGCAGAUUUCUUCAAACUAGCUGACCUCACACAGAGCAUCUGUGCAGUUGUGUACUGAGCCUGUGACAUCUCCCGCAGCUCACUCUCCCCCCCGCCGCAGCUCACUCACUCGCUCUCCACCCCGCAGCUUGCUCGCUCUC